AGUGAACGCUGGCGGUAGGCCUAACACGUGCAAGUCGAACGGCAGCACAGUAAGAGCUUGCUCUUACGGGUGGCGAGUGGCGGACGGGUGAGGAAUACAUCGGAAUCUACUUUUUCGUGGGGGAUAACGUAGGGAAACUUACGCUAAUACCGCAUACGACCUACGGGUGAAAGCAGUGGAUCUUCGGACCUUGCGCGAUUGAAUGAGCCGAUGUCGGAUUAGCUAGUUGGCGGGGUAAAGGCCCACCAAGGCGACGAUCCGUAGCUGGUCUGAGAGGAUGAUCAGCCACACUGGAACUGAGACACGGUCCAGACUCCUACGGGAGGCAGCAGUGGGGAAUAUUGGACAAUGGGCGCAAGCCUGAUGCAGCCAUACCGCGUGGGUGAAGAAGGCCUUCGGGUUGUAAAGCCCUUUUGUUGGGAAAGAAAAACAGCAGGUUAAUACCCCGCUGUUCUGACGGUACCCAAAGAAUAAGCACCGGCUAACUUCGUG
rnacentral:rRNA from 1 species